CAACAUUUUACAUGUUCGAUUUUGUACAACUUUGAUAAACACAUCAAUCCGAUAGCUCUUGGGUUUUCUAUAAUGUGUGGAUAGUGAUUUUUGUCAUGAAAACUAGAUAAAACUUAGUAUGAGAUGGGUUUUCUUCUUUUUCAGGGACUGUUCGGCUGCCUUAUCAACAAUAUGGAACAAAGUGAGAUGCAAUUAUGAUUGCUGAUGGCACCAAUAUACAACAACAAAAAAACAGGAAAAAAAGAUAUAAAGAACUACAGGUAAUACUCCUUUACAAAACUAGAAACAUAUCCAAAAUGCAUAAUACUAGAUACUGUAAAUUCAGAAAUUAUUGUGUGCAUUUAUUAUUGAAAAAUAUAUAGACAGAUAUGCGAGAUUCAUUUUUGCAAUUUCAAGAAAAACUUCAUUACAGAUCAAUGUUUCAGAUAUAUGGCUUAUUGUUAAAGGAUUUACAGUGAUCUAGAAUUGCUUUUAUCCUCCUCAUUUGAACAAGGUGUAUGUCAGUUUCAUUGGUAUUCAUACCACACACCACACCUCCUUGUUUUGUAGGACCAAGUGUCAUGGAAUAGAAGUUCCUUCACAAUAUAACUUCCAAAAGGAAUAAAUAUUACAGUAUAUGUUCCUAACAGAAUAAAUGGUAUAGAAUAUUUGUUCCAUCAGGAAUAGGUAUAAGCUACAAAACAAAUUUCUUCAUAAAAUUAUGAUUUAUGAUAAUCCAAAUUGUAAAUUUUGUAAUAGAGAAAUUGAAACAUUAGAACAUUUAUUUUGGGAAUGUGAAAAUACACAAUUAUUAUUAGAACAGAUUGAAAAUUGGUUUCUAACCAAUGGAAUUAGUGUACUUUUUACAAAAUUAGUUUUUUUGUUUGGUAACACUGCAAAAAUAUCAAAAGGCAAUGCAGAAAAUACUCUUUUUCUUACCAUAAAGCAAUAUAUUUAUAAUUCCAGAUGUUUUAAAAAAAAACUGACGAUAAACUCAGUAAAAGAAAAGAUGAAAUAUGUGUAUGCAAUGGACAAAAAUAUUGCUAUGAAAAACAAAUGUGAACAUCAGUUUCUCAGAGAAUGGAAUGCUUUUGAUAUAUUACUUAGUUAAGUACAAAAAUGUAUAUACUUUACAUUUAAUAUUAUACAUGUUAUAAAUGAAAAUGCUGUAUUUACUAUACUAAAAUAGAAUUCAAUUUCUAGAUGAAUUAUAUUGAAAACUCACCACACUAUUCUCUCUCACUCUCUUUCUCUUUCUAUCUCUCUCUCUCUCCAUUGUUCAAACUGCUUUACUCUUUAUCUUAUAUUUGUAUAUUUAAAAAAAAAAAAAAAUUGCUUCCUAAUAGAAAGAUGUAUUGAUUAGAUAAUAUCUAUGGAUUUAUAUAUUAUAUAUUGCUAUUAUAUUUGUGUAUAUUAUGUUAUAAAUUGAAAGUUAUAAAUAAUAGAAAUUAAAAAAAAAAAAAAAAAGGAAUAGGUAUUAUGACAUUGUUUAUAUCAAAGUUUCCAGUGGAACUUCUGUUAGGCGGAACAAAUAUACGUUGACAACUUGACCUCUUUGGUAUGACCAAACAUUGUUACCCAUCACUAUUUCUUUCACUCUGUUUUGAAUGCCAGUCCUACAUCAAUCACUGUGCUUUGAUUACAUCAAUAACAUAGGAUCCUUUUUCUGCAGAAAAAAAUAACUCAUACUCCUUGAUAUAACAUAAACACAUUUUAAAAGCUGUAGUUUUGAAAAAAGAAAAAAAGUCAUUUGCAUCCUAUUUGUAUUAUCUUAAAAAAGAUGAAAAUAUAUUAAAAUGCCUGGUGAGCAAUUCAAGCUAUAAGGGAGCCUCUAGUUAUUAUAACUGGCAUGUGUUCAAAUAGUACAUUGAGAUUUUGAACAUUAGAUAAAAAGUAAUCCAUUGUAAUGUCUACUGUUAGUUAUAUGAAAUAUCACUUUCAAAUUUGUGAAACAUUAAGUUAUGAAUUAUUUUUUUCAGUUUAAAUUAACAUUAAUAAAAGAAAAAAAUAAUUGAGUUGUUUUUUUAUCUUGCUUUCAGAAUAUGUGUACUCAGAGGAAUGGCUCAACAGCAGAAUGUAGUGAUGUUGUUAUCAUGGCUUGACAAUAUUUUAUACAGGUAUGUUAUUUCAUCUUACACCUUGUAAAAGUAGCUUUUGUGUUAAUUUGAGAUUAAACCAGGUGUUGUUGGCAUUUUAGACAAAUUUGAUUGACUUGAGUAUAGUUUUAUUUCCAAACUGAAAAAUAUAUGAGUUCUGUUAAGACAUAUUACCAGAUAAAAUGGAGUUAUCUCCCAUUAGCUGUUAUAAAUUUUGACCUUUUCACAGUAUCUUCUUGAUAAUGUUGCAACAUUCUGUUUUAAUGAAGUUUUAAAGGAUCAUUAGACAAAGGCCUAUCUUUCUGUGUAGUAUGUUUUGUUUGAUUUACAGAAACAUAAAAAAAUGUAUACUGUGUAUUUUCUUGUUGAAAUGUCAAUCAUAAAGGAGAAGGCCUGGUAGGACUUAAGCUCCAAAAUAUAGCAUUUUUAUAAUUACUUUAAUAUGUAAACUUUUAGGAGAUAACUGUAUUGUAUUUUAAGCUCCGACGACAUCAAUUGGGGAUUUGAUGGUCGCAAAUUAAGUUUACUGGCGACGCGUUAGUGGAGACAGUAAACGGGUAUUUGCGACCAUCAAAUCCCAUAUUGAUGCCGUCGGAGCUUAAAAUACAAUAUUGUUAUCUCCAUUCUAAUGAAACUGACAGAAAACAACGUUAAAACAUGUAUUUAAAUCUGUCAUAUGCCGUCUGCGCUUGCGCGUACGUCCCAUAGCAUCAAUUGUCAAUUGAUGCCAUGUAAGAAAGUGACGUUAUCCAAUCAAAAUGAACGUUACAAACGUUGUUGCAUUAGAAUUAGCUAUUUAUUGGAAAGUAAAAUACUUGUGUUUCAUAAAUAUGAGCUGUUUUUGACAAUACAAUGCACAGGCAUAAGGUAAUAACAUUAUAAAUUCAUGCAAUAUUACUGAAUCUUCACAAUUUGAGCAUUUAAUGCAGUUUUUGUCUUAAAUGGAAUAUCUGUUGUAUUUGGUGGUGAUACAUAACAUAUAUAAAGGUUGAGAGUGAACAUGAAUGCGACCACUUGCAUUUUAGACCAAAAAAAAAACAUGUGAAAAGUGAUGUUUUAUGGCAUAUUUGAGAGAUUUUUCAUUUUAAAGUUUGAAUUUGAGCAUCUUUAAUGAACCUGCUCCUUUUCACUGAUCCUUUCUGACUUUGUGUUAUUUAAUGCUGAAUUGAAUCAAAAUUGAGCAAAAAAAACUUCAAUCAGAAUCAAAUGUCAAUAUUUCUCAAUUUUUUUAAUGGGAGAUAUUUAUAUUGAAUUAUAUUACUGCAAAUCAACUUAUUCUUUCAACUUUUUGUAUUAAAAUAUCAAGAUUUGUUACUAUUAUGGGUUUUAAGCUUUAGCACCACAGAUGUUAAAAAAAUCUGUUUAACUUUUGCAACCAUAUUCAUUCUUAUAAUUUUUUGAAUAUGAAAAUUCCCAAUGAAGGAGAAAAGAUUUUCCCAUGACUUGAUAGUAGACAAUGCCAUUAUAAAUGAGUUACAAACCUAUGAAUAAACUUAGGAAUUACCAGUAUUUACUAUUAGAUGAAGAACAGCAAGACUUUCUUUGAUAAAUGGCUUUUGCAUCUAGCAUAGAUAUGAAUAUCCAGAAAGUUGGUCCAUGUACAUAGAUAAUCAUUUACUCAAAUGGUUGCACUAUAUAAAUAUUUACUCUAGAUCAAAUUACUAAUUUUAAGUAAUUAGGGUAUAAAUACUUUAUAAAAUAAUAUUAAUAAUUGAAGACAACAUGUUAUAGAAAGAAAUGUAGUAUACUUUGUGAUGGAUGCUAUUGAUUUAACUGGAGGUGACAAAUUUAACAUGACUAAUGAAAUUUCUUGUUAUAAUUAUUUUUAAAUUAGAUGGUGUCUAUAUCAUUUUAUUUAUUUAAAAAUAUUUAAUUGAAAUAUUUGAGCUCUUUUUUAAUUUUCUUUGUAAUGUGUUUAAUUGUUUGUGUCAAACGAACAUUGAAUGCAAAAAAUGUGGGGGAUAUCCAUGUGAUCAUAUUGAUUGAGAUAUAUAAAUAUGAUCUGAACAAUAGUGUAACUUACAUGUAAAGUGAUAUCAGUUAAUUACCCAUCAUUUAAUUACCACCACCACGGAGCAUAUCUUUGGUACAGAAUAUUAAUUUCAUACAGAAAAAUGAUUAGCAAUGCAAGAUCUACAAAAAUGUCAAUAUGACUGACAUCAUAAAUUGAUUCCAUGAAGGAGUUUUAAUCUUUAAAGGAUGAUUUAUUUUUUUAUUUUAGCAUAUAUUUUCUUUUAUCUUUAGAAUUAUUGCAUAUGGCAGAAAUAAUUAUUUGAUGCCUUCAGUACAAGAUGUUCAGAAAUUUGGUGCAUGCAUUUAUUAUUAUGAUUCUUGACCAUUUGAUAGACAAAAUUAUAUUAGUUAUAAACAAGUUUUAUUUUGUUGCAGAACCUAUCCUAAUGCAAGUUUUGCAAUAAUAAAAAGAUUGCUAAGUUUAAUAUAAACCUAUUUUAGCAUUUUGAAAACAAUAAACAAUAAAAGUGAAUAGCAAAAUAAGAUGAACAAAAUGCUAAUACAGUAAAUCCACAUGUAUGAUCCAGUGAAACCAUUUUUUUUUUCCAUUUAUGAAUGAAAAUUGUUUCUAUACACUGAAACCUUUCUAAAUUUUGUAAUAAUACAUAACUGAUAGAUUAACAUGAUACAAUUUCUUAAGUUUUUGUCAAAUGGUGCUUUAACAAAGGGUUCUUACUCUGUAAUUACUGGGUCAGUUCAGAUCAAAUAUUGAUGAAAUGAUACUUUGAUCAUAUUUUUAAAAAUUGAUAAAAUUGAUAAUUAAUAGCUUAGUUUAUACAAAAGAAAUACUUCUAAGGAUUAUGCAUUUAGAAGGUAACCUACUGACCUCACCUAAAAUUGAAUACAGCUGCAGUUUACAGAAAAAACUAAAGAAAAAUGAAAUUUUUUAAACACUAACAAUUUUAUUGAUCAAAAGAAAGACCUGGUCAGUUGGAUAACAAUAUAGUUCCAUGGCAGGGCCGUAACUACAUUGAGGCAAAUGCCUCAUGUUAGAAAUUUCAAAAAAAAAAAAAAAAAACUGAAACAAAAGAUUGUCUUCAUAUCAAAUUGUUUUCACAAAUUGUCUUGCAAGAAGCAAGUUCUCUUCACUCUCUGGUGUCGCCCAUGCAUGUUUUUCGUUAUCCAUGUUUCUAUUUUCCUUUUAGUUUUCAUAGUUGAUGGUCUAUUGUUUGUACUUCUGUGUCCCGGGUUUGUCUUUUGUUCAUUUAUUGUCCAACUUUAUGACUAUAGUCUGAGCAGUACUAGUACUUAAAGUAUAAUACUGAACUUUCACUACAUUUAAAUCUAGUCAUAAAAAAUCACCAAAGUCUAAGCACAAUACAAGAUGAGAACAGACAGAGAGAUCCAGUAUAAAUAAUUAUGAGAAUUACGAUUUUAGCUUUAUCCUACAUAUCCGUCUUUUAAUGUUGUCUCUAGAACCUAAAAGUCUUAAAUUACAAUGAAUCUAUGUUUUUGUUUUGGGACCAGAAUAUCGUUGAAAAAAAAGAGCUAAAAAUCAAUUAAUCGGUUUCAAUGCAAGAAAGAGUCUGGGAAACGCUCAGAAUGCAUGAUUUUGCGUUAUUUUUAUCAGAGCUUCAGGGCUUGAAUGGCCCCCAGACCCAACGCCAAAAAAUAUAUUUUGCCUCACUAGUAAAAGAGGCUAGUUACGGCCCUGCAUGGAAAAAAAUUGAAUGACUCCCAUCCCCAGUAAAAAUUUUACUUGUAAAAAUUUCAGACUUGACCCCCACCCCAACUUGCUCUUUUCAAAUUUCCUGAUACCUGCACCUGUUGUGAUUAUUGAUCUUGAAGGUUUUUUCAUUUAUUCCUUGUUUUACUUCUAUUUCUGUCAGUUUUAUGUAAAACAAAGGGUGUUGCAUGACUUGCAUACUAAUUUAUUCCCCUUCCCUAUAUGGAAGAUAUUAUCAGAUUUACCUGACAGUGCUAUAAUAGUUACUGGACAGAAAUUUGUUGGUCAAAUUUGACCAGAAGAAUAAAAAAAUUCAAAGGUUUAAAAAGUCAGGACGGAACAAAAAUUCCUGGUGAAAUGCCAUAAAAAUUUGUCUUCAAUUUCAUGCGUGAGCCAUCAAAGGGAUCAGUUUACAAUUGAAAUUUAAAUCCUAUACUUAAGUCUUUAAAAAUUGACUUAACCUAGCUGUUCAUAUAAAUAUCUUACUUCAUACAUUGUUCAGAUUGUUAGAUAUAUUUUGUCAACAUUUUUAAUACAUUUAUGCCUGAUUACUUCAGGUAUUUGUUCUAAAAUCCACUUUCUGUGGAUUAAAUGUUCAACACCUUCUUGAGGAUUAUGAUUCUUAUCCCCAGAUAAUAUCUCAGUAGAAGUGUGUAUUUAUUCGACUUUCUUUAUCACCAAUCAUGAUCUGUUAAAAUUUUAGAGACAAUAUGUAUUUAUUACACCUUUUGAGUGAAAAAGAUUAUCUAAAUAUUUGAAUUAGUUUGAGGAUUGAAAAUGAAUUAUCAUCAAAAUCAAAAUGUGAAAAUCAUUUAUAUAUCCAAAGAGAAUUUAAUUUUUAUUACAUGAACGAUAACUUGGGGGAAAUCAGAAAGUAGGGGGAAUGAAAGAUUAAUCUAUACAAAUGUGCAUUCAUUUCAAAUUUACUUCAGUAACAGAAAUUAGAUAGUUCAUGCAGCCCUUGUCACUUUUUAUGCUCAUCAUUCAAGGCCGUAACUAGGCCUCUUCUUUUAGUGAGGCAAAAUAAUUGAGCCGAGCGAAAGCGAGGCGAAAUUUUUUUUGGAGGGUAUGAAAUCCAUGGUGCAAAAUCCUGCAUUCCAGCCAUUUUUAGACAGUUUGAUAAUGUUUUGAAUUUGGACACUUUUUAUAUAAAUUUUUCAUAUUUUAAGACUUUUACUAACACCAAAUUUUUAACAACUUUAUUUAAAUUUAUAUGUAAGAUUAUCAUCCAAAUAUCACUGAUUUGAGUCUGCUGCCAGAACAUAGAACAAACAUCGAUUCAGUAGACUUUGCCAAAUUUUUCUAUGGCCGGUUCAGUCAAAUCGUUUAAGAAUCAUAAUUUAGUCUGCUGAUAUCCUUAUCGCGAUGAACAUGGAGCAUGUGGCAAGACCGCACACUCUCUCGCCACUCAUGCAUGCUCUUUUCCAAGUUUUCAGUCGUUUCAGGGCAGUCUGUGUUUCUAAAGGUAGCACAUUAUCAUCAACACAAUGAUCAAUGUCUUCUUCCAAUUCCUUCUCCAUCAGCAAUUCGGUAGCAGCAUCGGUAGUAACAGUUUUGUUUUCAAAAGGGAAUUAAGCUUUCCUCUAAGCACCAUCAUACAGUCGCAGUUACAAAACAUUAAAUUCGCUUUUAUGCUGACAAAGAGUAGACAAACUAGGGAUAGAAUGAGAUUAGAUAAAUGUAUAUGAUUCUAUCUAUAGAGUAUAUAUAUAUAUGAUAUGGGUACAGGGGAAUGGGAAUGGAGUUUUUGACAUUUACAUGUAGGUCCGUAAUUUCAAAUUAUUUCUGGAAAUAGUUGGUGGUAUUUUAGUUCCAGAAUCUAUAAAUUAAGGGGUUAGGGGUUGGGGUGUCAGAUUCCGAAACCCCGAAUAUAAAGAAAUUAAAUUCCGUAGUCCCGAAUAAGUAAAGACAAAAUCCUGUGUUAAAGGUUCUACCAUUCCUCAAUAAUAUCAUGGGAUAUUCUUUCAAUUUUUAAGGUUAAAGAAACAUGGAUAAAAACUAAUCCAUGAAUGUUUCAAAUUAUUUAUAUUUUAUUUAUCUGUAAAGAGAAAGAUUAAAGUUCGUGAAAUGAAUACGCAGACAGGACUGCCCCCUUGCGAUGCCCAGUACUUGAUUUGUCAAAAGUUGGUGAAACGGAGAAAUGAAUACGCAGACAGGACUGCCCCUUCCGAAGACCAGUUCUUGAUUUGUCAGUCUAUACUUAUCGUUUUUGAAUUGUUCUAAUGAAGUUAUAUGCAAUACUCAGACUCUGUUCACAAAAAAAAACUAGUUUACUAGAAUUAUUCCUACUUUACCUUCAGUGUCGCUUUUCCUUUUUCUGCAAGAGCCUGUUUUUAACUAGAGAUCCAUGAUGAUUAUCGUUACUAAGUUAAUGUUAUCGAGAAAUAUCACCCGUCGAGAUGCUGAGUUAUAUCCAGGAAAAAUAGUUUAAAAGAAAUGAUGACUAAGUUAUAGAAAUUAAGGUUGAGACAGAACAACAAAUGACUAUUAUAUUUAUAUAUAUAUGUAUAAAAAAAAUGAUCAGUGUCCAAAUUUUAGUGAGGCAAUUGCCUCACUUGCCUCAAGGGUAGUUACGGCCUUGUCAUUGAGACCUAUGAUGGCAUACUGUUAACUGUUUGUCCACCUGUUUGUUCAUUCACAUGUCUUACCAAUAUCAGAAGAAGAUUUUAUUUAAGUUAAUAUUUCACAAAUAGUGCACCUUCUCCAGACCAUAGAUGUAAUAGACAGUACAUGUAUUACAUCUAUGUCCAGUGAUAUAUUGUCAAGAUUUUACAUCAUUGUUGGGAAUUGAUAAAAGAUCGCUCACUUGUGAUUUUGAAAGUUUCCUUGUUUGUUGUUCCAAAGUCACUGAACAUUACCUGUCAGGUUUAAGUAAGUUUUUUUUACGUAUUGUACCAUGAAUUGUGUAUGCUUGGAUUGGUUUACCAAAAACUUUCUGCAUUUGUUGGAAUUUAAGAUAUCAUUACAGCUUUGUCAUCUCAGCAUUAUAUAUUUAUAUGAAUUUGAAAAUAAUGUUAAAGCAAUUGUUUACCAGUAUCCUGAUUUGUCUUGAUGAAAUUAUUUUAAACUUUACAUUUCCAUAUGUUUUGUGGUGAAAUGAUCCUUUUUAUAUCUUGCUAAAUUUGAAAUUUCAACAGUGAAUUGAAUGAUAUAAAUUUUAUAUUCUCAUACUUCUGUUGUCAACAUAAAUUUAACCUCUAAUAUCACUAUUUGUGUGGAUUAUUGGACAUGACAAAGGUACCUAUAAAAUUUUGACCACAAUAGAAAACUGACGCCACAAAGAAAAGUGGUGGUUUUAUGACAUUAAGAAUUUAAGUGUCCUAGAUUCCCAAAUAUCAAUAAGAUCUAUUGAGGUUUAAAGUCUGUGGUUCAUGCAGGAGCUCCUUGGGAUUACAAGACUGCAUCCAGAUACUUUUUCUUUCAUUUAUCUGUGAUUUACUGAUAAAUGGACUUGCUGGAUUAGUAUAGACUGAAGUAUUGAAUGAUCUUCUUUACUUUUGAUCUGUCUACUUGAGAGACCAUAUUAUUUCAUCUGUGAAAUAUUACUACACUGAAGAGCAAUUAAGUGGCCAAUUUCUUUAAUCAAGAGCUGACCAAGGUUAUAUUGACCAUUGUCCAGAACCACUUAACACCUUUAUAUCAGUAAUUUAUAUUAUUUAGCUACUUUUACUAAAUGUUCCUUUUAUGUUUCUUCUGAUUUACAUGUUAUACUUGAUAUGUUAUUUCACAAUGUCAUGAUGACUAUAUAAGAGGUUUAAACAGUUUGAAUCAUUCCUUAAGAGUUCUUAUUAGGAUUAUACUUAUCAUUGGUCAUAUUGACCACAAAGUGACCUGUUUCUCCUUCAUCUAUGCCUAACAUAACAAAAAUUACCGUUAUAAGAAAUUUUUAAAAGUCCAUAGGUAUAGAAUUAGGGUCAUAAAGUAAAUCGAAUAUCAGUAGCCAAACAAAAUGAAGAUCAUGUAUAUUUAUAUAAAAACACCAGACUUAAGUAAAAUGCUGCUUUGAUAUACAUGUAUACUUGUCAUGUAAUUAUUUUUUAUAAGCCAGUUUGCAACAUUUUGGAAGUCAUAAUGAUAUAAUGAAUAACUCUGGCUUUUCAAUGUUUUUCCUUUUCUAGACACUAUUGUUUUUAGCCCGAGAUUAAAUAUCUGGAAGAUUUCAUGAUUUUUAAGACACAAAAAAGUCACAAAUUGAAGAUACAGCAGCUGUAUUGGGAUGUGCUGGAAGAUCUCUAUUGCUUCAGAUACAUCCAACCUUUUGAAACUUUCGGUGGAACAUGUGCCUUUAAAGAAAAACCUCAAUUCAUUUGAAGUUCAUUUGAUUUUCAAAAGAUAAAGUCAGAUAAAAACUGAUUGAAAUUUGGCAAUUUUUUGCAUCAUACCAAUGUUAGUGGGUAAUAUCUCCAGCAUAUCAGAUGAUGAUUUCCAGUAUUCCAGAACCAUGUCAUCUGUACUGAGAUCUGUAUCAUAUGUUUAUGCCACACUUUUUUGUUGUUUAUCAAUCUUGUAAUGCUAAAUGCAAGAUCAAAAUUGAUAUCACUUAAGGAGUAUAAAAUGUACUAUAUUCUCUUUUUCUCAAUAGAACUAAAAUCAGCGAUGGUUUAGUUUUAACUCAUGGCAUACAUAUUUCUCUCAUCUUUUUCCAAUUGCAAAUGGUCAGGAUGAUUUCACUAAUUGAAUCAGAAAUCGUUAAUCAUAUUUUCGCUAUAAAAACAGUUGGGCAUCUUCACAAUUUUUUUGUCCAUGAAAUAUUUAAAAAUAUUUCUUAAAAAUUCUACAAUUAUUGCUUUCAUGUUUGAAAUUGUCAUGUGUGAAAAAAUGUAAACCAGAUAACAACACCUCACAAAAGCUUUCUUUUUACAAGCCCUUUUAACAGUAAUUGAAACAUUUAUCUGAUUUUCACCUUUGUAUGAAAAAAAUAUGUUCUUAUUCAUAUUUCGCCUUCGGUCUCAAGUAAUAAAUUAGCUUAACUUCUCUAUGAGGGGUGAAGCUUACAUGUAAUAUCUCUGUUUAAAGAAAAAAACUAUAGCUGGCCAGUGACCUUGACCCUAGUAUAUAAGCACCUGUUCCACAAUAACUUGUCAUUAUUUUUCUAGAGGGGUGAAGUGAACACUUCACUUGAAUUCGUUUUAGUUAAUUUAUUUUUAUUUUAGAUUUAGGGGAAAGUUACUAAAGUUACAUUUAACUUGUGUACGAUGUACGACAAGUUCUAAUGUUAUUUUGUUAAUUAGAAAUAAUAAUUCCUCAAUUGUCUACGAUGUAUGACAAGUGUUGAUGGAAAUGAAUUUAAAUUUCUUGUCUACGAUGUAUGACAAGUGUCGAUGGAAAUUAAUUAAAUUUUUUUUAUUGUCUACGAUGUAUGACAAUUUUAUAUAUUCAUUAAGUUUUUGCCUUAGUACGAUGUACAGCACAUUUGUUUCUUAAUUCAUACACCUGUUUGUUAAACAGGUAGAUAUUUAAAAGUAUUUCUAUUCACCUGAAGGUCGUGAGUACUCUUCAGAAUUUACACGUGUUUUACCUGCACAGGUACACAUUAUUUUAUUACAAUGGCUGAAUUUGAUUAUGCAAAUGUAUUGCUUUUGCAAGAUGUAUAGAAUUAUGUUUACACUUACAAGGGUGAUGGCUAUGAUUUUCAUCAUCUCAGUUGUUUUAGAAAUUAAAGAUGAUAAAUUUAAUAGGAAAACAAGAGGUAUUUUGAAUAAAUCCUCUUCUUAAACAGUUAUAAAACCUAGUAGUUUUAUAAAAGAUCAUAAUGGCAUUGCAAUUGGAAAUAAUUGACAAAGCAACAGAACGAGUCAAAAGUAAGUUUUUAAAUCUAGUGCUACUUGUAUAGCUUCAAAAUCUCCUUGAUUUGUGAAUUUUUCUUAAGAUAGUGCUGUUGAGAUUUAAGAUAGGCAUGUACAUUUGUAUACAUAUUGAUGCAUUGACUCAUUUUUAUUAAUGUAGUAAAGAACAUGUAUGAAUCAUGAGGUUUGAGACAGUUUCUCUGCCUUCAACUCAAGCAGAGUUUGUAGAGAAACCUGCUGCUUUAUUCGAAUUUUGCCAUUAGAGGCUUACUUUAAUGAAGAUUUAGUUCUAAUUUUGAUCUGAACUACUGUAAUGAUACUGUUCAUGUACCUCCUUUUGGAGUUUGUGCCAUGGCUGAUGAUAGUCCAGCCGGAACUGAAUUUUGAUACGUCUUUUGUUCCUGCAUUAAGGUUUUCAGAAGCCUUUAAGGCUUCUCUAAAUGAGAUUAAUGGUCCAUUAUCUCAUCCUGUUUGUUGAACAGUUUAAUCAUGAUUUUGCUUGGAAAAUCCCAAAAUUGUUUAAAAAGGCAGAAAACUGUGUAAGUUUUCUUCUGGACUUUCUGUGACUGUUAAUAAUACUACCAUGUCAGUAAAUAUCAAAUCAGGAAAAUAUCAAGUUCAUAGAGGAGUAAUACUAUCACCCUGAGAACUGUGAGAAUCCUAGUGUGUCUAGGAUAAAUAACAAGAUUGAAAUGGCACUGCCUAGACAGGCCCACUAUGUGGUUUCAAAGAUGCAGGAAACCCAGAGAUACUUUAUUAAGGGGUUGAUCAUCACCCCUAUUGUUGAGGAUUUUAUUGUAAAAUUCUAUUUGUUUGUUUGACCAUGGGUUUCUAUUUUAACGCAUAGGAGAUGCUCAGAAAUAUCUAGAUGAUAAAACUUAUUUGUAAUUCUGAUGUGAUAGUUGAUUUAUUACGUUUUUAGUUAUGAUUGCAUGAAGCAAACUUGGUGAUUAUACAAAGAUUCUAAAGCAAAUUCUAGAUUCCUUGGAAGAGGUUCCAGGUCUAGCAAUUAUUUUACUCCCAGCUGUUAUGGGAAAGGCAAUAUCAGUCUUUUAACUGCGGAGGCUCUGUUGGUCAACAGGGCGUAUACUAGUAGGCAAUUCCCUUCAUUGAGAGGAAGAGGUUUCCCAAAAGGGAACAGAGAAUCUCAAAGAGGUCACAUUUCUCAACCAGUUGCUAUAUACAGUAGAUAACUUAAAUAUUAUGAUUUGGAAAAUGUUACUAAUGGUCUAUUGAAAUUAGAUUUAUUAAGAAAUGGUUAUAAAAUUAUUUUUAAUGAUGUACCACAUAUUUGAAUAAAAUACAUUUCACCUUUCAUAAGGAUGAAAUAAUUUCAGAAGUCCAAAAAUUGAUAGCUAAGGGAGCUAUUUAAGAGGUUGAUCGAUCAUUGGAAAAUCAGUUUAUUUCCUAUAUUUUCUUAGUUCCUAAGAAAGAUGGGUCUUCAAGGCCUGUUACCUAUUUGAAAAAUUUCAAACAAACUUAGCUUGUGGCUAAUCAGCAUUUGGAGCAGGACCAUUUAUCUUUUGUUUAGAUGUAAUUCUUAGGGAUGAUUAUCUAUAUAUAUAUAGAGAGAGAGAGCUAACAUCUAUAGAUCUCACAGAUGCAUAUUUAAGUAUCAUUUAUGAUUAUAUCACAAUUUUCCUGAUUCAUGUGGAAAGGACAUUGAUAUGAUAUUUAUGUUCUUUGUUUUGGAUUGGCUUCUGCAUCAAGAGUUUUUACUAAGGUUUUAAAACCUGUCUAUGUAUUUUUAUAAAAAUAAUGUCACUUGAAGUAUAUACAUGCUAUAGUUUAUACAUUGAUGAUUCUUUUAUUAUGGAUCAGAAUUUAGAUGGUUGUAUUGUGAAUACAGAAGAAGUGGUGCAAAUGCUUGAUAAGCUGUGCUUCGGAAUAAAUUUUGAGAAGUUGGUACUCAUUCCUUGGAAGCACAUUGUUUUCCUUUGUCUCAUUAUUGAUACUGAGCUAUUUAAGUUUUUUCUGACAGAUGAGAAAUGGUAAAAUUAUCUCCCUUGGGAAAUUCUUCUUAAAUAGAAUUGUGUAACUGUAUUAUAGAUGAUUUGCAUCAUAUAUUGGUCUUGUGGCACAUGCUUUUAAUGCAGUAUCUGUGGGAAAUGUUGCAGAAACAUGGCGAGAAAUAAUGUUGAAACACUGUAUAGUUGUUACAGUGUUUAUUAUCAUCAAUCUAUAGGUGAAAUUUUUAACAAUUUAAAUCAGAAAUUAAGAAUUGAUUUUAGACCCAUCCAAAUAAGUUUUUUGGAUUGGACCAGAUGCCUCAUUAGAAGGAUUUGGGAUCCAAAUUUGAAGAAAAUUUUUUGAUUUGGUAGAUGGAGCUUCUUUAAGAACAUGCGCUCAUUUCAUAUAGAUUUCUUAGAAUUGUUGGCUAUAUUUUUCUUUUGGAGAGAAAAUUUUUAGUCACAGAGAUUUUAUACAAUCAGAAAAUACAAUUUCAGUAGCAUUUAUUAUGCAAUAGGAGGUAUAACCUCUUUGUCACUUUUAAAACAUGCUUACUACAAAUAUUUCAUUAUUUGGGCUUGGUGUUCAAGAAAGAACAUUUUUUAUCACAGCUCUUUAUAUUCCUGGUAAGAAAAUUUUGAUGCUUAUCAUAUGUCUAAAAAAUUUACAGAUUCAACAGGAUGGCAAUUGAAAGAAGAUAUAUUUGUUUUGUUGUUAUCACGUUUUUCAUUUUCAAAAUCUGUAGAUAAUUGAAUUCGUUGUCUUUUGACCAACACACCUUCAGAGAUGUUUGUACUUUUCAUGGUCAGAUUUAAGACCUUAUAUUUCCCAUCUUUUUCAUUGUUGGGGAUAAUUAUAAAAGAAAAUUAUUAGUGAUAAAGUUCAGAAGGCUCUUUUGAUUAUUUCCUUUUGGUCUGCUCAGAGUUGUUUUUCUUUGCUAAGACCAAUUUUAAUUUAUUUGACAGUUAAAAGUUCUGCUAAACAUAAAGUUAGUAACAAUGUUACAUACUGAAAGAAUGCCUUUCCGUCAGGAAGAGAUUUGAUUUAACUGUGUAUUGUAAAAAGUAUAAGUGACCAACACCUGAAUGGUUGAUUGUGCGGUAGGGUAAAAAUGUGUGUAUUUAUUCAGAAAUCACUUUAAAUAUAAACAGGAGAUUUCAGAAUCAUUUGUAAAAUAUAUUUACACUUAUCUUGGAGAUCAUGCAUCUAUGAUCAAGCAUUAUCAAUAUUUUUUUGAGAAAUGUCAUUAUUUGGUGUGUUCAAAGAGAACCAAUUCCUUAUCACCAUCUAAAAAAGGAUGUUAUUGAUUAUUAAAAUUUUUUUGUAAAACACAAGCUUUUCAUAUUCAGCAUGUUUAAUGUGAAUUUUACUUGUUUUAUGUUGAAACAGACUUGAUCCUUUAAGAAGUAGCUAGAUGUUACUAAAUUUGUUUGUUUACUACAUGCAUAUGUGAAAGGUUGCCUUUUAAGCCUGAAUCUGCAAUUGAAGAGUUCGAUACUCUUUCACUAUGGAGAUGAAUUUAGUGCUAUUUUUUUUUAAGUUCUUUAUAUUCAUUAGAGGAUUUUACAUUGAAGACUGUCUUUUAUACUUGUGUCUUUAUUUGCCUUGACUACAACUGCCAAAAGUACAAUCUUUAUCAGCUGUAGAUUUACAUUCUAUGUUUUUCAUUCAGAGACAUGGCACUUUAUUUUUUCAUAUACAUGAGUUUUUGAAAAAUACUAGAUCUGUUAGUUAGUCUACCUAAUGAGGUGAUCAAGGGUUUUGAUAAACCAAAACUUUGUGUUGUUAAGACAAUGUUUUAUCAUGUUUUGUGUACAAAAUAUGUGAGAGAAUUCAUCUAAGUCUUUUUGUAAAGUUUAGAUAGUUAGAGAGAGUUCUAAUUUUAGCCGAGGUUUUAAGGUUUACUCAUUUAGAGGAACCUCUUCAUAAGUGCAUUUAGCUUCAGGAUGUUCUAUUAAAGACAUUAUGGCAACAGCUUAGUCUGGACAUAUGGUAAAACUUUUUAUAAGUUCUAUAAAAGGGAAAGUGAAUAAUAUCAGUACUAAAACACUUUUCAUCAGUUGUAGUACUGGAUGAUCUUGUGAUUUCUAUGCUUUAUUAAAUGUUGGCAUUUAUAUAAAAAUUGUUUUUAGUUUGUGUCUACACUUUAAACAAGCUAAUUUAUUACUUGAGACCGAAGGCGAAAUAUGAAUAAGAAUGUUCCUUCAUCCAAGCAUAUCUUGGAUGUGCAGGAUGAAGGUCAUUCUUAGAAUAUGAGCCUGAGGCUCGAAGUAAUUAAUUCCACCCUAGGGAUUAUCAGUCAGACCCACCCUUUUUCCAAUGGUUUUAUAUUGGUCGACACAAACUUGCUUUAAAUUAUGACAAGUUAUUGUGGAACAGGUGCUUAUAUACUAGGGUCAAGGUCACUGGCCAGCUAUAGUUUGUUUCUUUAAACAGAGAUAUUACAUGUAAGCUUCACCCCUCAUAGAGAAGUUAAGCUAAUUUAUUACUUUCGAGCCUCAGGCUCAUAUUCUAAGAAUGACCUUCAUCCUGCACAUCCAAGAUAUGCUUGGAUGAAGGAACAUUUUGAGCUAUGGUGCCCCCAAUGAUUUGACACAUCAUGACAUAUGAAGAUGCUAUCACAUGAAAUAGAUUUCUCCGACAAAUAUUCUUCAUUAAGCAGACUGCUGGGUUGACCACAAUUUAUGAGACGUUUGAAGAUCUUGGAGCAGUGAUGAAAUUAAGAAUUUUUCCCCUUCAGAUGAUCUUGACUUGAUAUAUAUGUAAAUUGUGACUUUUCUCUUCCUUUGUAUUAUAUUAUAUAGAUGGGUUAUAUGAUAUAGUUUUAUGAAAUUCAGAUUUUAAUGAAGAUUUGUUGUGAUUUAUAUCAAAGUAUGAUGCUGUUUAAUGAAACUUCAGAACUGCAGACCUCACAAUAAAAUAUAAUUAUCAAUCUCCAUAUAGCUAAUAAGUGAGAAAUGGAUAAAAUCUAUACUUAUAUCUGAAUAUUUUUUUUUAAAGCAAUUCUUAUAACAGGCAACCCUUGAACAUAGAAACUUUUAACACUUUUUCUCAGGAACAACGAAUCAUAACUUUCUGAAAAUUUGUACCAAGCUUCUUGUGAGCAUGAUAAUACUGUGUAGCAGUUGUACAUUUAUCUCUCCUCAACUUUCUGUUCACAGUGAUUGCAAGGGUAUCAUUAGUAAGAAACUGUAUAUCUUGUGUAUAUCUUGUCUAGAUUCGUUGCUGUAUCAUAUACAUUUAUAAGUAAGGUAAGAUAGUCUAAUUGAACUGCACUAUCAAUAUGUUUUAAUCAACCAUAACACUUUGUUUUUUGACAUGAUAGUUCAAUGACUUUAAUAAGAGGGCUUGAAUUUUGUUGAAAGUGAAUAAUCCUUAAAUGAAAAUUUACAAUUCAAACUAGAAGGACAUUAAAUUUCAAAAAUACAGUUUGAGACAAUCAAACAAGAUAUUACACAUAUAGUAAGUUAUAUACUUUUAGCAAUAUUGAGUGUCUUCUUAAGGACUUUUUAUUUAGGAUCCAAUAAUUGAAUGGUCGUGUAGCUGUAUUGUUUUUUGUAAAUUGUUUUGUUAUAAACUAGGCUUAAGUUUUCUCCUUUGAAUUGUCUGGAUGUUUUAUAGCUGACUAUACUGUAGAGGUUUUGUCCAUUGUUUAAGGCCAUGUGAUGACCUUUUAUGGCUAUAACUGCAUACAUCCUCAUUAUUUGAACUCUGGUGAAAUAUUUGUCUCAUUUGCUAUCAUACCAAAUCUCCUUAUCUUUCUAUUUAUGAAUAUGAUUGCUGUAUGUAUGAUCACUUGUAAGAUUACAAUAAAAAUGAGUCAUAUUGACCUUCAUUUUAAUAAUAAGCAUUAAAAUACAGAGGAAACUGAAAUGAAACAGUUGUCAACUUUGUUUAUAUGAAUGACUGAGUUUACAGUUCUAUAUUUAUAAGGUGCUUACUUUAGAUACAGUGUUAGGAGAAUGAGGAUAGGGGACAAUAAGAAUAAAUACAGGCAUUGAGAUUAAAUAAUAGGAAUAAAUACAAGCAUUGGGAUUAAAUAUCAUUUGUGUUUCUAACAGCUCUUGCCUUAUUAAUGUCCAGAAAUGACAAUCUUUGUGUCUAAGCUAUAAUUGCCUUUAUGUAUGCAUAACAGCGUUUAAAAUUAGUUGAAACUACAGGAAAUGCAGUAUUUUUAUUUAACAUAGUUUGAUUAUCAUAUACUUUGCUUAAGCUUAAAUCUAACCCUUUAUUGCCAAAUAAUAAGUUUAAUUGCUAUAAUCAUUUAUUGAUUUGGUCAAAAGUUUAUGCCAGAAAAACUCUACAAUCUGAAAUAAUUGUACAAGCAAUUUUAAAAGUCUGUUGAAUGUUUAUUACUAAUGCAAGUCUAGGCUUUAAGUGCUUGAUGCCAUGACACAAAACAAUAAAUAUUUGUAAAUUGUGCUAUUAUUUUAUUUCAGAAUCUAAGCACUGCUGUUAAAGGUACCUGUCUCUAAGAAGUAUUGCUAGUUAGAAGACAUCAGUACCAUGUACCAUGGUAUAAGCAAUUGGAUUAUAUUAGAUGGACAAAUCUGUUGAUUCAAAGUACUGGGUAUUUUACUUUAUAAUAUCACCAUUGGAAGAAAAAUUUAUUCAAUUUCAUAUUGUGAACUUUGCUCUCAAAUGCAACCAUACAAGCCAUAAAGGAGAAGUUGGGAUCAUGCUUCUUUUUUGGCCCUUGAACUAAAAAAUCAGUGCUUAUAAGGGUUUCAAACUCUUUUUCUAAAGCAUAAAAAAACUACCAAAACAGCCUCAUUGUGAGAUCUUAUCAUUUCUUUUAAGUUAUGUACCCAAAAAGAUAUUUUUCUUCAUAAUGCAUGUAUAGAAAAUCUUUUUGGAUGAACUUUUUACUCAUAUGUAUUGAUAUAUUUUGACCAUUCUAGAUUAAAAACAUGAAUAUCAACAUAUCAAGUCAUAGUUACAUCUCAAGUCACAUUCCUACACUAAAGUCUCCUAAUUUGACAAACUCAAUCAUUUAGAUAUAGAAUAAUCAUAAUUAUGAAAGGCUUGAAUAUGUUUUUCUUUUAUGCAAUUUCAGGGAAUAAUUAAUAUGCCUCCUCCUUUGCAGUUUUAAUCAGUAAAAAAAGGAUCUAAUUACUUUAUUUACUAGCGGUUAACAUUCAUGAAUUUGUUUGGGUAGUUUGUCUUAUUAAACGGAUACCCCUCAUAUCCUUUUGAUCAAAUUAUUCAUAACAAGGCCUAAGGUACAACAAAUUUGAAAUAUUUUUGUGGUUUAUAUUACACUUUGUAUUAUUACUAGUUCAAUGACUCGGCUUUUUUCACUGCAGUUGAUACAAAUACAAAAUGUUUCAUAUUAUUAUCUGUUUUUUUCCAAUUAUUUUAUUUAUUAAAUGCUAUGCAAUACUUUAAAUAGCCUACUAUCAGAUAUAUUUCACUUAAUGCCCCGCCAAGACAAAAAGACAAUCACAAAGAAAAAUAUUCCAUUUAGGCUUUCUUUUAUUUCCCUCGUGUGAAAAUCAAUAUAUUGAUAACUGCACAAUGAAAUGCAAGUUACAUACUUUUUGAUUUGAGUAUUGUAUUUUGGACCCCCUGUAAACUAUAUUGCUCUGCAGGAGAUAUUCUAUACGAGAACAGUGUCUCAACCCCAACACCUCCUAAGUGGAGGGAAUCCGUUUACACACCUGUCAAUACUUUCACCUUAAGACAAUGAUUUUGGUAAGGGGUGGAUAACUCUAUUUAGAAGAGUAUCUAUAAUUGCUGUCUUGUUUGUCAAGUUGUAAAUAUUAUAAUUGACUGGUGUAACAAUAGAAAAGAAUGCAAGUAUACAUUUGAGGGUUCUUUUAGAAAGAGGGUUCUGUAUGAUCUUUUGAUGUGUUUCAUAAGUUUAUGACUUGCAAUUUCUCAUCUAACUUUAAUCAAACUUUGCAUCUUGUCAUUAAUUGAUAUGAAAACACAAAAGAAAAUGUCCAUGAAAUUGGUUAUUUCUAAGUUGGCAAAUAAUGAUAUGUCAAAUUUUCAAAUGACUGAGAUGUUUGAAAUACUUGUAUUCUGUAGGGAAACUUUAACUAUUGUUUGUCACUACAUACAUGUUGUUAAUUUUCAUGUUUGUAUUAAGUCACAUGUAAUUCAUUCUUUGAAGCAUUUAAGUCAACCACAAUUGUAUCUCAAAUAUCCAUCUUUACAUCAUGUAUUACCCAUUUUUAAUUAGAAAUAAAAAUGAAUCUGCCCUUCUUGAUAUUAUAAUGUUUUCUGAUUUUAAGUGUACUUUUAUUGUUCCAAUUUUAUCCCUUUAUAUUUCUGUUUCAGGGUGAUGCAAAAGAUGAAAUUGAGAAAAGAUUGGAAGUUAGUUGUAAUGUAAUUAAUACCUGAGUAAACCAUAGAAUCAAAA
rnacentral:lncRNA from 1 species